rnacentral:misc_RNA from 1 species
GCAUCUGAAAUCUGAGGCGCAGGCAA